rnacentral:tRNA from 1 species
ACCAUGGCUCAGUGGUAGAGUGUCCACUUGGCAUGCAGAAGAUCCCAGGUUUGAUCCCUGGCAGCUGUC